rnacentral:rRNA from 1 species
UCCUGACUGACCGAUAGUGAACCAGUACCGUGAGGGAAAGGCGAAAAGAACCCCGGCGAGGGGAGUGAAAAAGAACCUGAAACCGUGUACGUACAAGCAGUGGGAGCACGCUUAGGCGUGUGACUGCGUACCUUUUGUAUAAUGGGUCAGCGACUUAUAUUCUGUAGCAAGGUUAACCGAAUAGGGGAGCCGAAGGGAAACCGAGUCUUAACUGGGCGUUAAGUUGCAGGGUAUAGACCCGAAACCCGGUGAUCUAGCCAUGGGCAGGUUGAAGGUUGGGUAACACUAACUGGAGGACCGAACCGACUAAUGUUGAAAAAUUAGCGGAUGACUUGUGGCUGGGGGUGAAAGGCCAAUCAAACCGGGAGAUAGCUGGUUCUCCCCGAAAGCUAUUUAGGUAGCGCCUCGUGAAUUCAUCUCCGGGGGUAGAGCACUGUUUCGGCAAGGGGGUCAUCCCGACUUACCAACCCGAUGCAAACUGCGAAUACCGGAGAAUGUUAUCACGGGAGACACACGGCGGGUGCUAACGUCCGUCGUGAAGAGGGAAACAACCCAGACCGCCAGCUAAGGUCCCAAAGUCAUGGUUAAGUGGGAAACGAUGUGGGAAGGCCCAGACAGCCAGGAUGUUGGCUUAGAAGCAGCCAUCAUUUAAAGAAAGCGUAAUAGCUCACUGGUCGAGUCGGCCUGCGCGGAAGAUGUAACGGGGCUAAACCAUGCACCGAAGCUGCGGCAGCGAUGCUUAUGCGUUGUUGGGUAGGGGAGCGUUCUGUAAGCCUGCGAAGGUGUGCUGUGAGGCAUGCUGGAGGUAUCAGAAGUGCGAAUGCUGACAUAAGUAACGAUAAAGCGGGUGAAAAGCCCGCUCGCCGGAAGACCAAGGGUUCCUGUCCAACGUUAAUCGGGGCAGGGUGAGUCGACCCCUAAGGCGAGGCCGAAAGGCGUAGUCGAUGGGAAACAGGUUAAUAUUCCUGUACUUGGUGUUACUGCGAAGGGGGGACGGAGAAGGCUAUGUUGGCCGGGCGACGGUUGUCCCGGUUUAAGCGUGUAGGCUGGUUUUCCAGGCAAAUCCGGAAAAUCAAGGCUGAGGCGUGAUGACGAGGCACUACGGUGCUGAAGCAACAAAUGCCCUGCUUCCAGGAAAAGCCUCUAAGCAUCAGGUAACAUCAAAUCGUACCCCAAACCGACACAGGUGGUCAGGUAGAGAAUACCAAGGCGCUUGAGAGAACUCGGGUGAAGGAACUAGGCAAAAUGGUGCCGUAACUUCGGGAGAAGGCACGCUGAUAUGUAGGUGAAGUCCCUUGCGGAUGGAGCUGAAAUCAGUCGAAGAUACCAGCUGGCUGCAACUGUUUAUUAAAAACACAGCACUGUGCAAACACGAAAGUGGACGUAUACGGUGUGACGCCUGCCCGGUGCCGGAAGGUUAAUUGAUGGGGUCAGCGCAAGCGAAGCUCUUGAUCGAAGCCCCGGUAAACGGCGGCCGUAACUAUAACGGUCCUAAGGUAGCGAAAUUCCUUGUCGGGUAAGUUCCGACCUGCACGAAUGGCGUAAUGAUGGCCAGGCUGUCUCCACCCGAGACUCAGUGAAAUUGAACUCGCUGUGAAGAUGCAGUGUACCCGCGGCAAGACGGAAAGACCCCGUGAACCUUUACUAUAGCUUGACACUGAACAUUGAGCCUUGAUGUGUAGGAUAGGUGGGAGGCUUUGAAGUGUGGACGCCAGUCUGCAUGGAGCCGGCCUUGAAAUACCACCCUUUAAUGUUUGAUGUUCUAACGUGGACCCGUGAUCCGGGUUGCGGACAGUGUCUGGUGGGUAGUUUGACUGGGGCGGUCUCCUCCUAAAGAGUAACGGAGGAGCACGAAGGUUGGCUAAUCCUGGUCGGACAUCAGGAGGUUAGUGCAAUGGCAUAAGCCAGCUUGACUGCGAGCGUGACGGCGCGAGCAGGUGCGAAAGCAGGUCAUAGUGAUCCGGUGGUUCUGAAUGGAAGGGCCAUCGCUCAACGGAUAAAAGGUACUCCGGGGAUAACAGGCUGAUACCGCCCAAGAGUUCAUAUCGACGGCGGUGUUUGGCACCUCGAUGUCGGCUCAUCACAUCCUGGGGCUGAAGUAGGUCCCAAGGGUAUGGCUGUUCGCCAUUUAAAGUGGUACGCGAGCUGGGUUUAGAACGUCGUGAGACAGUUCGGUCCCUAUCUGCCGUGGGCGCUGGAGAA